GGCACGGUUCGAUCCUUCUCGCUAAGCGCUCCACGGCCUACGUAUAUAAAAAGUCUCUUCCUCCUCGCUCAUCUCAUUCCCAUAGAGGCCACCAAACAACUAUCAACUAUGCCGCCGGAUCCCUGCCGCCGGGGCUACCAUCAACCACCACGUCGUAGAAUCGUAGCCCGCCCCACCGCCAGAGACAAGGCGCCCCAAUCCACCUUGCAUCUGCUCCCCGUGCGCUCACAGCGCCGAGUCCUGCCCUCGGUGGCCCCGCAACGGUGAACGCAUCUGUGUGGUGCAGGGGUUCUUUAGCUUUGGACGCGGGCCUCUCCUUCCCGUCGCAGAUAAAGGACACGACGAGGAGUACAUCUCCUGUUUCUCCUCUCACGGGGCAGUGCAUAGCCGCGCAGCCAUCAGCCCGACCAUGGCACGACUGCUUGCCAACCACACCCACGGAACCUCCUUGCAUUCUCCCGAUGCGCCAGCCCUGUGUCCACGCCAUCCGUGAGUUUGUUUGGCGAGCACAACUCUCGAUGAGCAACGGCAAGGCAACUCAGCGGCCAGGUCUUGCUGCAGGGUAGUGAAGGAUUGACGAGCCAAAUAGAAGGGGCAAUGAGAAAUUGAAGGACCAUGAGCAAUGCUGAGACUUGUUGGUUUGCUAGGUUAUUUUGGAGUUGUAGAGAAAGAUCUGGUAACAAAUGAGAAUGAGAUCAAGCUGAGGUAUUGUACAUCCAAAGAUCAGACUUGUUUUGUAUUGCUUGAACUGACCGAUGAGGUCCUCUUUCAACUGCUCCAUUUUAUGUUUGAUCAUGCAAUGUUCACAAGCAAUGAGCUUGGUUCUGCAUAAAAGUAUCAAGGUGGCAUGCAAUCUUCAGUAUAAGUGGUCGAGGUUUCAUCUUUUUAAUUACAACGAUUACGCCUUGGUUUGGUUUGCAUAAUGGGGAGGGGUUGUAUACCGGUUGACCCUGAUGCCUGGAAGCAAAGAAAAGGCUAGAAGGUUGGUUCCCAAUCAUAAUUGCAUACCUUGGUUUCCAUGUGAACACUCAUACUUCAUGUCCAUGUACACUGUAAUACGGCCCUGUUAGUCAGUGGAACAGAGAUCAACAUGAUGCAUCUGUUUUUGGUAAAUGAUGAUUGUUGAUGGUUUUUUAUAUUAAUAAAAAAAUAUGUGUGUUUGUUGAUAUUGCUAUGUUGUGUCCAUUCUGCUUUUUGGGCAUAUGUUUAUUUGUAGGUAUGUUGCUCCCUCCCUCUUUUAAUAUAUUUGUAGUUGUUUUCUUAUUGUUUGUGAAAACAGAUUUAUACUGUACAUGCAUAUGAUGUUUUGCCUUCUAUUUCUAAAUUUACAAUUUAUGAUUCUAAAAGAUCGUAUGUGAUUUUUUUAUUCUUUUGUAUUGGCACACCAAGACUGGUCGUGUGGCCACCUCUGAAGUUGAGGUCGAGUUCGCAUGCACACUGCAUACUGUCAGGCCUGGAAAUCUACUCAAUAGUGUGGGGCCCAUUUUGUACCUGAACUGAUUGACUAGCCCUAUCUACAACCUUCAGACAUGCAAUUUCUCUAUGAAGCUCUAAGUUUUCGUCUCUCACCAAGAUCCUUGAGUACUGUGGAGCAGCUUCUUCAUCCAGCCUCAUGUUUUCGUCUUCAGCAGGACUACAAGGCGAAUUGCUACAUAAACAGUAGAGAGCGUGGGGACGGCCUGCCCCACAUCCCAUGAGGAACAACACACAGAUCAUCUACACGGGCAACAGACGCACAAGAGCUAGCUGUCGCAUUGUACCACCUCAUCGCCGAGGCCAACCUUGCCGGCAGGUCCACGCCGCAGCUCUAGGCGCACUCCACAGAAAGAAAAUCUGACUACAGUGUAAUGAUAGUAUCUGAUCACCGUUGCAUCAAUGUCCAAAAUUAUGCAAGACAAUCAGUUUAUAAAUAAAUAGUUGGGAAGUUUCUCCUACCUAGCGGGGAGUCCAUAGUUGCCAUAGAGACAAAUCCAACUAGACGAUCAACAUCUCAUGUGCUUUGCAAUUCUAUAUAUCCAGAAGCCAUUAUCGAUUUUAUAUUCAGUAGCCAUUAUCA